GGUUAAUGGGAUUCGUUUAAGCAGAACUUCUAAGGCGCUAUGAAUACGCUAUAACGGUCCUAAGGUAUCGAAGUUCCUUGUCGGGUAAGUUCCGACC
rnacentral:rRNA from 10 species